rnacentral:tRNA from 1 species
UGUGGCUCAGUGGUUAGAGUACUUGCCUAAUAAGCACAAGGCCCUGGGUUCAAUUCCUUGCA